rnacentral:rRNA from 1 species
AGUCACUGACAUUAGAUACCCGGGUAGUCCAGGGUGUAAACGCUGCAGACUUGGUGUUGGAGGCCCUUUGGGGGCAUUCAGUGCCGGAGAGAAGUUGUUAAGUCUGCUACUUGGGAGUACGUCCGCAAGGAUGAAACUUAAAGGAAUUGGCGGGGGAGCACCGCAACGGGAGGAGCGUGCGGUUUAAUUGGAUUCAACACCGUAAAACUCACCAGGGAAGACUGUUACAUGAAGGCCGAGAUGAAGACUCUGCUAGAUUUUCAG